CCUACGGGAGGCAGCAGUGAGGAAUAUUGGUCAAUGGGCGGAAGCCUGAACCAGCCAAGUCGCGUGAGGGAAUAAGGCCCUACGGGUCGUAAACCUCUUUUGCCGGGGAGCAAGGGCCGGGACGCGUCCCGGCCCGGAGGGUACACGGGGAAAAAGCAUGGGCUAACUCGGUGCCAGCGGCCGCGGUAAUACGGAGGAUGCGAGCGUUAUCGGGAUUUAUUGGGUUUAAAGGGUGCGUGGGCGGGCUUUUGAGUCAGCGGUAAAAAUUCGGGGCUCAACCCAGUCCGGCCGUUGAAACGGGUGGCCUUGAGUGGGCGAGAAGUAGGCGGAAUGCGUGGUGUAGCGGUGAAAUGCAUAGAUAUCACGCAGAACCCCGAUUGCGAAGGCAGCCUUCCGUAGCCCUACUGACGCUGAGGCACGAAAGUGCGGGGAUCGAACAGGAUUAGAUACCCGAGUAGUC
rnacentral:rRNA from 1 species